rnacentral:lncRNA from 1 species
GACGCUAGUGUAACAGCCCGAUUCCCCGGAGUCCGACCGGGGUUAUCGAAGGGGCGUUAUGGACACGUGUCUACUCAUCUAGACAACCCUACGUGUCCCGUUACUGGUCCCGAGAGACGAGCGCAUAACCUUCUUUGAAAUACCGUCAUACCCACAUCCAUAUACUUCUACUUACAGUCCUGCGCACAGGAAAAAUGGAAAUGGAGGGGUGAGCAACAAGUUACUCAGUGAAGUGGUUCUAGACCAGCCUGCCCGCAUGACACUCUAUACUACUCCAUGCGGGAACUAGGACUGACUAGCCACUACAAUCAGUUAAUGCAUUUUCAUCAUUUCCUAAUGUUAUCUGCAAUUUCCACAAUCACUUCCAUUCAUUUCUAACAACCUAGCGAUCAAUCAAUACAAUGAUCUCACUCAUUGCCACACACGUCAAACCCUAGACUUAACCGACUCCUCUUGUCCGUCCGACCCGACCCUAUGACACCUUUAACUCCCCGUUACCCGACCAUGAGCUAAAACCCUACAAUGCACAUCCUUUUCAACUUUUCAUCUUUUCCUCUUUUCCUCUUUUCCUCUUUUCCUCAGUGGGUAGCCCCCCACUAGGCUUCUACCCCAUAUUCAUGUGGAUUCGCCACAUCUCCUAUGGGUGCUUCCAUAUUCAUGUGGAUUCGCCACAUCUCCUAUGGAUACCUAGCUUGGACCACUUACCCCACCUACAAACCUUAGACUCUCUAUAUGCUUUCCCACCCAUGCUUAACCUUAACAUCCUUCUUUCAUACUUUUACUUAUCAUUUCACUUCCUUAUCGUUUUCACUUAAUCCUCCCCAUUCCCAAUUACUUUCCCUUUUCAUUCAUACUUGAACUUGGACUAAAUCACUAGACGCCACCCGUUAUCGGUGUCACACACAAUACACAUCGCAUUCAAGUUCUACUUCAAUAACGUUUAUAAUCAUUGCUCAUCUAUCAUCCUAGCAUUUGUUCCUCUCUAGCAUCCUAACUUCAAUCACAACAACACAUGGGACAACACAACCAAACAUACAAGUAUCAACUACCAAUCAAUCAUUACCACGACAAUUCAAUUCAGUUCAUCAAGUCCCAUUUAUCAGUAUGAGGGUUCUUAUGCAUCAUGAUUCAUUCAUCUAUCAUCCUAGCAAUACCAUGUCCUAUCAACCUAACUCCCAAUCAGGGUCUAAUCAAGCCUAACUCCAACAUAAAGGAGUAUACAGAACCAUGAAAGAAGGUUGGGUUCGAAACACUCCACCUUAGCCUAGAUCUGGAUCUGGAUCUGGAACAAGAGACAAAGGGGAUGAGAUCUGAACAGAUCUGGAACAAGUAAACAAGAGAGACGAGAUCUGGUCACCACCACAACACCACACAUCCACCACCAUCACCACACUCGGACGAUCACCCCAUCACCACUUGGACGACCACCACCACCACCACCGGCGGCUCGGCUUGCUCUCGGGGGACUCACGGCGAGGAGAGAGGAAGAGAACCAACGGAAAGAGAAAGGAGAGGGAGAGGGAGAGAGAGGAGGCGUGAGAGAAGAAGAGAGAAGAGGAAAAGGGAAGCUUGACGGCUAGGGUUUUCUAGUCUCUCUAAAUCUCUGCAGAGCUUCGCUCUAGUUUCAGAAUGAGAGAAAAAUGAGAGGAGGCAGCUUUAUUUAUAGGAAAAGGAGGGAACCCUAGGUCAUUUACCCUAAUGGGCUGCAGUCUUAACGGGCUCUCCUUAAGAAAAUUUUUGGGCUAGGAACCGGGCCGUUACAAUUCUCCCCUGUUAAUCGGAAUUCGUCCCCGAAUUCCAAGCCCUAGACUUCCAAACUUAACAUCCGAUAACAAAAGGAACUCACACAAUCACACAUCAUACAAGGGAGGCACACAAGGCGAGAACAACUUUGCUCGGGGAUCUUUUAAAAACCAAUGAAUGAAUUAAGCUCAAAAAGAAAUUUUGCAAAUACAAUGGAUCCGAUCAAAAUCAUAAUAACGUAUAGAUAUAAUGGGUGGUUUUGAAAUCAUUUCCAGGAGUGUUAGAAGAAACAAAACUUUUACAAACUCUUUUCUUUUAAUGAAAACAAGUUUUUUUUUUUUUUUUUUUUUUUUUUUUUCGAAAACGUCGGAAAUGCUGAUCCCUUAGGACAGAACUAAGGGAUCUUAACCCGCUCUGAUACCAAUUGUAACAGCCCGAUUCCCCGGAGUCCGACCGGGGUUAUCGAAGGGGCGUUAUGGACACGUGUCUACUCAUCUAGACAACCCUACGUGUCCCGUUACUGGUCCCGAGAGACGAGCGCAUAACCUUCUUUGAAAUACCGUCAUACCCACAUCCAUAUACUUCUACUUACAGUCCUGCGCACAGGAAAAAUGGAAAUGGAGGGGUGAGCAACAAGUUACUCAGUGAAGUGGUUCUAGACCAGCCUGCCCGCAUGACA